rnacentral:rRNA from 1 species
UACGUAGGGGGCAAGCGUUGUCCGGAAUCAUUGGGCGUAAAGAGCGUGUAGGCGGCCAGAUAAGUCCGCUGUGAAAUCUCGAGGCUCAACUUCGAGCUGUCGGUGGAAACUGUCUGGCUAGAGUCCGGAAGAGGAGAAUGGAAUUCCUGGUGUAGCGGUGAAAUGCGUAGAUAUCGUAAGGAAGACCAGUGGCGAAGGCGAGUCUCUGGACAGUUACUGACACUGAGGCACGAAGGCCAGGGGAGCAAACGGG